rnacentral:rRNA from 1 species
GACGUAGGGCGCGAGCGUUGUCCGGAUUUAUUGGGCGUAAAGAGCUCGUAGGCGGUCUGUCGCGUCGGUCGUGAAAACUUGGGGCUUAACCCUGAGCUUGCGGUCGAUACGGGCAUGACUGGAGUUCGGUAGGGGAGACUGGAAUUCCUGGUGUAGCGGUGAAAUGCGCAGAUAUCAGGAGGAACACCGGUGGCGAAAGCGGUUCUCUGGGCAUUACCUGACGCUGAGGAGCGAAAGCAUGGGGAGCGAACAGG